UAGCCUUUGAGCCUCAUGAACCCUAUGUUAUUCUUGUUGAGUACGAGAUGUACUUACGCUUGCCUUUAUAUUUUAUUUGGAUAAAAAUCCCGGAUGGGUACCAGAUUGCAAGCUUGGAAAAGAGUUUAGGCUUGUGCUCAACCAGUCAGUUGUCCCUGUGGAUUUGGAGCUUUCGCCUGAAGAACGGAGUGUCUUUCCGCUGUUUGCUAUCUAAGGUUAUAUCUUUUAUACUAAGUUCGUUACAUAUAAGCAUUGUCUAUUGAUAUUACCCCUAUUUGUGGCUAUAUGUGAGAUUUGACUUCCUGGGCUCACAUAUGGUGUGUAUCUGGUUUUGUUCUUAAAACUGGGUGCUACAAAGUGGUAUCAAAGCAAUGCUGACUGUAGGACGCAAGCCUAGUUAGAAAUUGGUCAUCUUAAGGUUUUGAAAUUGUUAUAACACCCUCGCUCUAUAAACCUUGGUAUUUUCCUCUAUACUAUAUCUCUACCCUUGCUAUUCCUUCCUACCUUGUUGCUUAUUUGAAAAAUCUUUGUUCUCAUCUUUACUCCUUGAUUUGGUAUGCUUUUAGAAUCUUCUCUUAUCUCUUCUUGUGUCUUCGAAAUAGAACUUUUAGGAUCUUUGCCCUUACUAUGAAGAGAACGAUAGUAUCGCAAGUUGCGUGAAGUGUGAACCUCUAAUGCUUAAUUGGUUGUUAUUAUGUUUAUGCUUGAUUUGGAUCUUUGUAAUGUGUGCAAUGAUUUUGUGGGAUUUCUCCAUAAUAUCAUUUAGUUUAUAGGCCUAAGGCAUAAGGAGUAGUGAAAUAAGUAGUUGGGUUUGGUUAUAUCCUGUUUCUGUUCCUUGCUGAUUUCUGGAGCAGUCUGCAAUAAUAUUGGUAUAUCUCAAGUUCUCAUCGUGAAAAGUUUGUCACCUUUUUCUGGGAACAACUAGAUUUCAAGAUCUUUGUCUGACCUCAAGAAUCACCCCAAUAGCUAUUCUGGAAUUGGAGUUAUGAAAAUCACAAGUUGAUGCAGUUGCGCUGUCCAGAAUCUGGACCAGUUUUGGGAACAUGCUGUUUGAGACAAAUAUAACUAUAGAAUUGGGAAAAGUGUUCUAUAGAAACGUUAUAGAAAAUUUGCUAAGAUUUCCAAAGGUAUAAGCUGGAACUUAUUUGGAUAAUGAGAACCUGAGAUAUGAUAUUUACAAUUGGAUGUUUGUGUUCUGUAUCAAAGUCUGGACAGUUUGGGUAUUCCCUAUUUUCAGCCAAGUUAAAUUUAGAAUCUGGGAAAAAGUUGUAUACUAAAGUUUUAGAGGAUUUCAUAAGCUUUUCAACAAUAUAAGGAUCGUCUCCAUAUGAUUUAUGUAGCUCGAGAUAUGACAGCUGCAAGUUACUGCAUAGGUGCUGAGACACUGUCAGGAGGAAUAUUAUGUAUGGCUGUUUUACCUAAGUUUCAAGACAGAACCUAAGGAAGUCUUCUAUAUGAAAGUUGUGGUGAAUUUCAUAAGUUUUCUAACGAUAUAAGCUACAACUCUAUUGGAUUCACAGAAUAAGGGUUAUGUCUGUUUUACUACGCUGGUGUUUUCAUAUCACAAGAAAAUUUCAGGAUACUUGUUUGUUCUCUUGCACAUAAGUUCAUUGGGAUGUCAGAAGGUCUUAAUGCUAGUCAACUUGACUGGAAAAAAGUGCAAGCUACCUUCCUUGUGUCCCCUAGUUGACCUUUCUUAAGAGGGUAGUCUUAUCAAAGGAGUUACAGGGAGAAGUAAUGGUUAACAUUGGAUCAUCGAUAAAGACCUCAAGUGUUUGGAAAAUUUGGUUUGAUACAGGAAAUUGUUCCAUUGAAGUGUGAUAAUAUGGAUGGAGGUAUAGGUCAUUGCUGGUACUCAUAGCUUGGAAGUGGUGCUUAUGAGAAUCAGGUGACACCAAAGGCUACAAAGUUAUACAUGGAAUAUGAGAGCUAGUCCAUACUGUGCCCCGACCUAUCUCAUCUUAUGGGGUAGUACCUUGAUAUGAUAGAUUAAUGCCCUUUCAAUUUACCAUGAAGAGAGAAGUUGUCUCUGGAGAUAUCCCAUGAUUAUAAUCUAUCCUGGCUCAAGUUAGUGAAAUUGGUCACUUGACAACUUAGGAAGUGGAUAUGCUACAUCUACUGUUGGUUCUACGGAGACUCAAAAGACUUCAUUGCUAAAGAGAGCAUGACCAGUUUGUUCUAGUUGAUGGAAGUUCUCAUCUAGGAGAUGUCAUCUUUAAUGAUGGACUUAAGAAAGUUAAAAAUGCAAGAGUUGGAAACCACCAAAGGAAAUUGAAUGAGACUUAGAGUUUUAUAGAUAUGGCAAGAGGCUAUCAUAGGUUUGCUGGGGCCAAAGUGAUCUUGACAUAAGAGUGAAUAAGAGAUUGACUUGGAAUGAUAAGAUUCUAUCAGUGGUUCACUGAAGGUGUUGUAAAGAUUGGUAAAUAGAGUUCCUCUAUUCCAUCGAGACCUUAGAUGUGCUCCAUACAAGAAAAGUAGUGGCUGGUGCAUAAGUCAACUAAGUGGGUUGGAUUAACUGACAUGAUGUGGAGGUAUCCAUAGUGGAGCAUGGAGAUACUAUCUUCUUGGUUAUAAGAGUGAUAUCUACGUAGAAUGUAAGAGACUAAAGGGCAUCUUUAGGAAGUUGGAUUUGAGCUGGUCACAUCAUUGAUGGAUUUGAGUGAAUCAAGAGUUAUGACUAGGAAAAGUGAUAUCACUUGAAUGAGAAAAAAAGCCUUUACGAAUGCUCAGAGCAUAAAAGGUGUGCUAGAGGAGUUCAAAUAACACCAAGUUUUGAGGAGUUCAGUGUUGAACUAGAGUGAUGUCACUAGUACUGCCAAAGGAGCUCUAUUAAUUACUCAUUUGAGAACCACAGGAACUGAAAAGAUUACUUAGAAGAUAUGUUGUGAGCUUGUGUAUUGCAGUAUGGUACAAAGAGUUUACCGUAUGCGAAGUUUUCUUAGAACAACAGUUAGAGCCUUCGGUGGGAGCCUUUUGAAAGCUUGCAUGGAUGUAAGUGUAGAACCCUAUUGAUUUGGAAUCAAACGUGAGAACACAAGUGUUUGGGCUAGAUGUUCUAAGAGAUGCAGAACUGCAAGAGUGUUCACGGAUGACUUUAAGGGUGGCACAGUCUCAACAGAAGAUAUAUGCUGACAACCGGAGAAAAGAAUAAGCUUUUGAAGUAGAAGACUAUAUGUAUUUGAAGGUGUCACCUAUGAGAAGUGUGAGAAGAUUUAAUAUGAAGGAAUGGUUAGCACCAAGGUAUAUCUGGCCUUUCAAAGUGUUAGAAAGAUGGGGUGAAGUGGCUAUUAGAGCAUCUGAAAGUUUGGGAGGAAUGCAUGAUGUUUUCCAUGUGUCUUAACUCAAGAAGUGUUUGUGUGUGCCAUAAUAGCAGAUAUCGUUAGAAGAAUUGACUAUUAAAGGGGAUCUUACUUAUGAAGAAUAUCCGGUAAAAAUUUUGGAAAUAGCAGAAAGAGUUACAGGAAGUCGAGUAGUCAAGAUGUGUAAAGUUCAAUGGAAUCGAUAUUACCGAAGAAGAGGCUAAUUGGGAAAGAGAAGAGGAUCUAAGAAAAACAUACCCGCAGUGGUUUGAGUAAGCACCAACUGAAUCUCGAGGACGAGAUUCAUCUUAAGAGGGGUAGAAUUGUAACACUCUAAAAUUUGCUCCUUUGAAGUAGAGUUUAAAAAAAUUAAUUAUGUAUUUUUUGUGUUCAUGAAAAUGUAGGAAAAAUAAUAUUUUUUAAAUUAAAAUUUAUCAUAAGGCUUAGCAAUAUUGUUGUGCAUACAUGCUGGUGCAUAAGAUUUAAUGUAAUGUUUGCUUGAUGCUCCUUCGUGUGUUGUGAGUGAGCAAAGUUUUAAAAAUACGUUUAGUAGAACGAUCGUCCUUGACCAGUACGUCUUUAUCUUUAUCCACAAUCAAAUUCUUUAUUUCUCAGCUCAAGUUUUUAUUAUGAGCUUCCUAAAAUCUUUUCUUUGUCACCUAAAUUCCUUCUUUUAGUUUCUCGUUCAUCAAGCACUAUCUGCGAUCUUCUUGGUAAUUUUCCAGCUUUUUGCUGGAACUUGUUCCCACUGCUGUGAGCAUAAUCUAGAUGCUCCAUAUUAUCUUAUCAGGCGCUCCAAAUACUUUAUUUGAGUUCCUCAUGUUCUAUAAUGUCUCUGAGAAUUUUCUCCGAAUUUUCAGAGCUUUCGGAAUAUUUUUCAUAGCUUAAAUAAUAAUUCUAGAUUUUUUUGGAAUUAUUUUAUCCAUGAAAUUAAAUAAUUCCGAAAAUAAUAAAUCUCUAUUCUUUUUCCAAUGCUCAAGGCCCAUGUCUUUAAUUACUAAUGGGUUUUAAUAAUUAAUUAGACCUAUUAGUAAAGAUGGAGGUUACAACAUCAAUUAGUACCAUAUUGCUAGUUGAUGUAAUUGUAGAGAGUUUUUCUCCCUAUAUAUGUGUACCAAUCCCUGGGGCAAUGUACACCAAAACUACAUGAAAAAGAUCUUCUAGUCUGGAAAUUGCCUUGAGGCCAUCGUUGACACGCUUCUUGGCUGAACACCGCACGUAGCUCAGCCCUGGUCCAGCUUCAUCCUCCAGGCUGCACCAGCCGCACCUCAUCUAGGUCCAGCCCCGCACUGCAUGCAAGCCGGGCAUGCAUGAGGAUCGAUCAAGUAGGACAGCUUUUGGCUAUGGAAAGCACCAUCGGCAUUGUUCCAUCGAGAGGAGCGGCGGCCUCACAGCUCAUUUACAUCGGGACGAGGAGCUAGGGUCAAGGACAAUCUGGACUAGGAGCAAGGAGUUAAGAAAGGCUGAUGGCUUCACGUCACCCUCUAUGAUUGGUGAGAAAACUAAUCUGAUCAUUAUCUCUUUCGGUCUUGCCUGCACGAUAGUAUGCACGUUGGCCGGUGUCACAAUUCUGACCGAGAAGUGUUGGGAACAACAGCUAGAAGAUGGAGAUGUUGUCAGAUCACGAGAAGCAUCACGACAUGAAUAAGUCACGCGCUUACAUCUAAGCGAUCAAGGAGGGCAAUCACGCACCCGUAGGGUGGCCAUACGAGCGGAACAGAUGUGAACAGACAGGCCGCUGGUGCCAUGACGCCCGGUGUCCACAACACAAAAGCUGAAGGCACUUGCGGACUAAAGGUGUGGCCAUCUUGCUAGCUCCCAUAUUUACAAUUUAAUUUAUCUCCUAGGAUGCACUAAACAUGACCGUUUCUUCGUGUCAUAUGGUUGUGCAAUAUUUAGCCAUCCCUUCUAUUUCUAAAAUUCAAUCAUGAACUUUAUAUAUGCAUGCGAACUAUACCUUUCCAAUGUAAAAGCAAUACAUGACAAUCCCAAUCUUUCAUAAUUAAUUGUCAAAUUGGUUAAUGGAAACAUGGAUAUGUUUUUCAUAAUUUGCUCAAUUUAAACACGGGACAAACCUAACUCAUUAAAAUAUUCACAUGUUUACCUUCUUUUCAUGAAAGAAGUUUAUUUGCUUAUAAAUGAUUCUCAAAACAUUUAUAAUAAAAUAUGACUAGACCGAACUCUAGUUUCAUUAAAAAUAUAAUUUAACUAAGUUCAUAAUCGAGCACAUGAUUUUGUUCUAAUAAUAAUAAUAAUAAUAAUAAUAAUAAUAAUAAUAAUAAUAAUAAUAAUAUAUACGCCUAGUCUUUUCUUUUAUAUAAAACUUCUAGUUUCCAAACAUUUUUAUUGAUUGGUGUAUUGCUUUAAUUUAGUCAACUUUGUUUGUUAUGCAUGUCUGCUCGGAUGGUUGUGUGGUGCCUUAUGAUCUUGUCCAGUCGGUGAGAUAUACGUGCGACUCAGAAGUAGAUCUUUGAAGGUUUGGACUUGAAGAAGGAUCUGAGUUUAAGGCAAGUAUAGCAUGGGAUCAUCCUUGUUUCCUAUUAACUUUAAUCACACAAUUCAUAUUGCAUGUGUCUCCUUGAUAAGGAUUUCCUAGUAUUGAUCUUAUACCUUGUCACCUACGGUUUUGCAUUGGGUAGCUUAUGCUAGUGCUCCACUAAACCAUGAUCUUGUAAUUUGAUUAAAGGAAUAUGCAAUGAACAUUAAAAGAUUACUUUUUUGGCAACUUUGGAAAAGAGGGCUGGAGCAUUGGGCUAUCUUAUGGUGCUCUAGUUUCUCUCCAUAAGGACUUAUCUGUAUCUGACCAUCCGGGACAUACAGUACAACUGUGAGGGCUACAUGGCUCUGGCUUUAGCUCAGUAUGAGGACCUUUUCUAGCUUGUUAGUGGUUACCCUUGUGGCGCAAAUGGGGAAUAGCAGACCGUGGAUUCCUGCGGGUGAGUCACACGGACUGACUAACGAAACCUAGCGGCCCUAACUUGUUAGACGAACCUUUGAAAGGCUUCAUAGUGAACCUUACCGGCCUCCCUAGGAAGGGGGUUAAGAGACUCGCGACCUCGGGCGAAAGGGUAAAUCAUGACUCACAGUGAAAGUGUACAACCUCUGCAGAGUGUAAAACUGAUAUAUCAGCCGUGCUCACGGUCACGAGCGGCCUUGGACCAAUACAGAAUAAAUGAUCACUAAUGGCAAAUUAUUAAAGUUAUUGUUGUUAAUAUGUUGUUUAUGCUAUUCUUUAUUCAUUUUACCUGAUCAUGAGUUUACUUCGGGACUCGACAACUUGAUGCUACUCAUAUGCUAAAAUUGUGACAACUAAAAGCUACAUGCAGUUAAACCAGUGUCUAGCCUUUGAGCCUCAUGAACCCUAUGUUAUUCUUGUUGAGUACGAGAUGUACUUACGCUUGCCUUUAUAUUUUAUUUGGAUAAAAAUCCCGGAUGGGUACCAGAUUGCAAGCUUGGAAAAGAGUUUAGGCUUGUGCUCAACCAGUCAGUUGUCCCUGUGGAUUUGGAGCUUUCGCCUGAAGAACGGAGUGUCUUUCCGCUGUUUGCUAUCUAAGGUUAUAUCUUUUAUACUAAGUUCGUUACAUAUAAGCAUUGUCUAUUGAUAUUACCCCUAUUUGUGGCUAUAUGUGAGAUUUGACUUCCUGGGCUCACAUAUGGUGUGUAUCUGGUUUUGUUCUUAAAACUGGGUGCUACACUCGGCCAUCUUCAGCACGACUUCUUCGACCACGGCUAUUGUGCCCUUACGCUCGGCUACCUCAACAUUGGCAGAAAGGGCUACCACCUUGCAUGAGGACUCAUCGGCUUCUUCUCCAGCCACAGCAUACACGGCGCAUCGACUGCUAUGACUGCGGGGGAUGUUACUUAUCAUCUUCUUCUCCAGUCUUACCGUCUGUAGCGCUCCCGUUGUGACUGCGGGGGGAUGUUAGAGUAAAUAGGAAUCGUACCACAUUGUGUAUCCACAUAAAGUGUUAGUCCUAUGUACCCUAUAUAAUCAGCAUGUACCCUAUAUAAUCAGCCCAUGAGGCCCAAUGCAAUAUAUCAAAUAUUCCACCAAUUAUGUUCUCCUUCAAUGCCUUAUGCUGUUUAGCUUAAGUUUGUUAUGAUUGCCAAGACAUGUUACUUAAAAA
rnacentral:lncRNA from 1 species